GCCCUGAUGGUCUAGCGGUAUGAUUCUCCCUUAGGGUUGUCUUCGAUGAUCACGUCUGGGAGAGGUCCCAGGUUCGAUCCCUGGUUAGGGCC
rnacentral:tRNA from 1 species